CGUCAGGAACGUAGCACCCUCCGGGGUGUGUUAUAGCCUGGCGGACGAUACCCCCGUGGGGACCGAGGUUCGCGCUCCGCAAGGAUGCUGGCGUAAUGGUCACCAGUGACCCGUCUUGAAACACGGACCAAGGAGUCGUCCAUUAGAGCGAGCGUUUGGGUGUAAAACCCGCACGCGUAAUGAAAGUGAACGCAGGUGAGAGCUUCGGCGCAUCAUCGACCGAUCCUGAUGUUCUCGGAAGGAUUUGAGUAAGAGUUUUAACGGACGGACCCGAAAGACAGUGAACUAUGCUUGUAUAGGGUGAAGCCAGAGGAAACUCUGGUGGAGGCUCGCAGCGGUUCUGACGUGCAAAUCGAUCGUCAAAUAUGAGCAUGGGGGCGAAAGACUAAUCGAACUGUCUAGUAGCUGGUUACCGCCGAAGUUUCCCUCAGGAUAGCAGUGUUGAUCUUCAGUUUUAUGAGGUAAAGCGAAUGAUUAGGGACUCGGGGGCGCUAUAUAGCCUUCAUCCAUUCUCAAACUUUAAAUAUGUAAGAAGCCCUUGUUACUUAGUUGAACGUGGGCAUUCGAAUGUACCAACACUAGUGGGCCAUUUUUGGUAAGCAGAACUGGCGAUGCGGGAUGAACCGAACGCGGGGUUAAGGCGCCAGAGUGUACGCUCAUCAGACACCACAAAAGGCGUUAGUACAUCUUGACAGCAGGACGGUGGCCAUGGAAGUCGGAAUCCGCUAAGGACUGUGUAACAACUCACCUGCCGAAUGUACUAGCCCUGAAAAUGGAUGGCGCUCAAGCGUACCGCCCAUACCCCGCCCCCAGGGUAGAAACGAUGCCCUGGGGAGUAGGCGGCCGUGGGGGUCUGUGACGAAGCCUAGGGC
rnacentral:rRNA from 1 species